AUAGCUAGCUAGCUAGAGCUCACUCAGUAAAUAGCUAUUAUUACUAUAGUGGCACAAUUGGUUGAUGUUUUGAGUUAGCCAGAGCUGGCUGAUUCAAAUCCUGUUUUGUGAGUUUAUUAGCUGUGUGACCUGGAUUAUGCCACUUAAAUUCACUAGUUUUGUUUUCUUACCUGUUUAGUGAAGAUAAUAAUUACCCACAUUGUUGUCCUAUAGAUUAAAUAAAAUGAUGCACAUAAAACCCAGCUCCUACUACAUAAAGGGCACAUAAAAUUCAAUUUUUAUUAUCAGGGAAAAUAAAACACAAUAUGCAGAGUUAGACAAAAGAAGAUAGAAAAUGGAGAGCAAGUGAAGUGAUACAAACUCAUCCACACCAUUAAUCCAGACCAAAUUUAAUAAUAGUUAUUUUUUCUCCCUAGAAAGUUGUUGGUUGCUCAGAUGUGAUUCAGAAAUGCCAGCAUGGGGGCCAUGGAAAGGGCUUCAAUAGGGGAACUGAUGAAUUACUAGAAAGAACAUGAGUGGGAAUGUUCCCAAGCUUAAGUGAGCUUUGAGCUCCCAAACAGAGCUAGCUGUUUCAUUGCUGUGGUUUUUAUUUACUAAAUUUGGGCUGAGAAGCUAGGAUUUGAGUUUCUGAUGCUGUCUGUCAUCAGAUCACUGAUAUAUUUCCUUAUCUCCUGCAUUAUAUCUCUUUCAUGGUUAUUCUUUUUUUUUUUGCAUCAUUUAAAAUUAAAGCCUUGACUGUCCCUUGACUAAAUGAUUUUAGAAUACAACUGUUUUUAUUUUAAAUUUCUUAUUUACAUAUUACCUUCCAUCAUGGAUGCUGGAAAUAACUUUAGAAUAUUUUAAAACUCUAAGAUGGAGAAAACAUUCUGGGCAACAAAUUUAUGUUUAUUUUUCAGGUAGCUCAUGUCAAUCUGACCCUUCUGAGCCUUACCUUUCCUUGUGGGACUACCCUUUAAUUCUAAAAGACAAUGCUUUGCACACAGUGUUAAACAUAUUAUGUUCUGU
rnacentral:lncRNA from 1 species